rnacentral:rRNA from 1 species
AGAGUUGAUCAUGGCUCAGGAUGAACGCUAGCGGCAGGCUAACACAUGCAAGUCGAGGGGCAGCGGGAUGUAGCAAUACAUGCCGGCGACCGGCGGAUGGGUGCGUAACGCGUAUGCAACCUACCUUAUACAGGGGAAUAACCUUUCGAAAGGGAGACUAACACCCCAUAGUAUUGAUUUAAGGCAUCUUAGAUUAAUUAAAUAUUUAUAGGUAUAAGAUGGGCAUGCGUAUGAUUAGCUAGUUGGUAAGGUAACGGCUUACCAAGGCGACGAUCAUUAGGGGUUCUGAGAGGAAGGUCCCCCACACUGGUACUGAGACACGGACCAGACUCCUACGGGAGGCAGCAGUGAGGAAUAUUGGUCAAUGGGCGCAAGCCUGAACCAGCCAUGCCGCGUGCAAGGAAGACGGCCUUAUGGGUUGUAAACUGCUUUUACAUAAGACUAACCGUAUAUUUGCGAAUAUACCUGAAUGUAUUAUGAGAAUAAGGAUCGGCUAACUCCGUGCCAGCCGCCGC